CUUUUCUCCAGGCUGGACACCCCAGGUUCCCUCAGCUGCUUCUCAGAUGCUGAAGGGCUUGCAGGACCCCUGGUGUAACUCAACUUUGCUAUUUUCAGGCAAGGCAAGCAGUUGUUUGAAAGCUUGCUCCUCUCUCCAGAAAUCUGUGUAAAACCUCAGGCUUUCUUGGCAUUGUGCAGAAUGGGAUGAGGGAAACGACAGGACAUGGGAAGAAGACACAAGGCACUUCUGAAGAGCUUUCAGGCUGCUUUGGAAACUGCUGAAAAGCAGCCCUCAUCCAGCAGUGCUGGCCAGUCCCUGGAGGAUGUCCAUGGGAAACAGAGAAUUCCACUGGCUUUUGUGCUGCUUUGGAAUGACUGGAUAGAGAAGGAUAGAUGAGUUCUUACACCUGGCUGGUUUCUCUGACCAGAGUGAUUUAACUCAGCAUCCUCAAGCCAGUGGAAGCUGAGGGUGAUGCUGUUCAAUUCUCCUCCUUGUGUGUCCUCUGGAGCCUGGGCUGUGCUCAUCCAGGAGAAGCAGGUUGCUAUCACAUGGCUUUAUGCAGUGAUCCAAAGCUGAUAUAUAACACACGGCUUAGAAAAAAAUUCAUUUUCUUCUAGUGUCUGAUGACCACCAAUUCAUGAACAAGACACUGAAAUGUGCUUUUUGUGCUUCCCAGCCACAGCUCCUCAGCUGUAGCUCAAGACUGGACUUUACAGCACAAUGCUUAAGUGUUCUGGCCAAUUACCAUGUUGCCUUCUAAAAGAAGGAUUCCCACUAGAUUAUCCACAUAGAGAAAGUGAUACUAAAAUGACAAGCCACCAAGAGGUCAAAUAACCAGUUGCCAGAAGUUAAAAUAACUAGACUGUGGAGCAGCAAUAUCUGAGGAGCUGGCAUGUGUCCCAGGACUGGUUGUCAUACAAAUGAAAGAAAAGACAGCUGGAAUCUUUUUGGAUUGACUGUUAUUUUCUGUGAAUAUAAUGUAAAUCUACCACUCUGUUUUUUCAACCAGAUGCCUGAACUGGGAGUUUAGAAACUGAUUCAGUAAAAUAUAAGGUCUCUUUAUAUCUCAUUUUUCCAUGUGUGAGUUUCAUCUACUUUGUUUAGCUUUAUCCUUUGGGAUCAAGGACUGUUCAGACUGUCUCAGCACAAAGAGUCUGAUUACAGUUUGGGCUCUCCAGUAAUCCAAGCAAAUACAUUACAUCCUCUCUUGCCAAAAGGUGUGUUCUCCCAUCUGGGCAGCAGCAAAGUCUCCACAAAUGUCUAACUGAGCAGCCACCUCUACCCACCAUGGAGCCAAAAUCCCAGCCAGGCUGGCUAAGCUCUAUCCAGUGAUUUUCCCUGGCAGCUCUUGUUUCACCAUCAGUUAAAGUUUAGCUGUUUGCUGUACAUUCGGUGCCAUCUCUUUAAAGAUGUAUAUCUGAGUGGGCAAGAAAGUUAGGGAUUAGCAAUGGGCAGAGGUCAAGUCUGUCAAGACUUUAAGCAUGUUGUUGGUUGUAAAAAAGAUUACGUUACUGGCAGCCCUUUGCCAGAUCAGUACUUCGAUGCCAAAUGUUAAUCCUUGCUGGGGACAAGAUGGCUUGUAAAUGUUAUGGGAGAACACAGCUUUUCCUGUAGAAAACAGGCAUUUAUGGUUAAAACAUGGAUUGUUUUCUCAUGCUUGUGUUUGCAUUUCAUGCCAAUUCACUCUUGCUCGCUAUGAGCUUCGCUUCAGUACUUACAUUUAAUCACUUAAGAUCUUUAUUUGUAUAGUUGAGGAGAGAAUGGUUGAGUUCUUGAAGCACUGGGGACUAAAAGAGCCAGAGCUCAGCCUUAAGUUUUGCCAAAGGACUUGCACUGUGAAACUGGGCAAAAGCAACGUGCCCACUGAACUUUACUUUUCUCAUCUGCACAACUGAGCUCCAUGUAAAAAGAAUCCUGUAAAAUUUUAUUUGUGACUGUCAGAAGGUCAGUGUUUAUUUGAUCUCUAAAGCAAUCUGCCUAUUUCAGUGUGGCUAACUAUAUAUCUGUAACUUUCUAAGUAAUGUCCUUUCCUACAGCCAUAGAAUCACUGAAUGAUUUGGGUUGAAACCUUCAGAAUCACCCUGUUCCAACUGCCCUAUUGUGGGCAGGGAACUUUCCACUAUACCAGGUUGCUCCAAGCUUUGUCUAACCUGACCCUGGGCACUGCCAGGGAUGGGACAUCCACAAUUAGACACUUUGGGAGGGCUUAAGUUUCCAGGUCAGGUGCUUACACAAGGGCAGCCAAGGCAUAAUCCAACACAAGAUUUUAAAAUAACAGAAGACUCAGAUUCGCCCGAAGUUUGUUCUGCUGUGGACUGAGAGCACAACUGGGUGUGAGCAGCAGCUGUUGUCAAAUGUGUGCAGAGCACUGCACAUGGCUGAGCACAGUUAGGAAAUUAAUGUUGUACCAGUGGAUCUCAGCAGCUGACAAUGCUCACACAGCAUUGCACAAACUCUAGGAAGUCCUGUGGCUGUCUCACGUGAAAGGAAAACAAGCAGAUCUGGGUGCAAACUACACUCACACCUGUUUUUGGCAUCUAAAGAUCCUCAUGGUCUCUGUGGCUCAGUCUUUUACCCUAUUUUGGGAGGUAAUGAAACACUAUGCCAAGGCAAAAAUCAAUAAAGCUUCACUUUAAAGGGUUGAUGAGGUCAAGAAAACACCAGUGCCUGAUGCACAUGGGUUCAAGAGUAGAGGGGACCAUGCAAGUUCCCAGGUAGAUUUGAUGACAGAAUUCAUAAAAUAAGAAAAGCAAAUUCAAUCUGGGGAAACCUGAGCUUCUAGAUUUCAUACCAUGUACAUUUAGUAGCUAUAAAAUUAGAAUACUGUGGUAGAAGGGGAUUCAAUAUUUUUUCUGGAAAGAAGUGAAAAAUGAUGUGCAGCAUCCUAAGUACUAAAUUCUGUUAGUUCAGUUUUGUUAUGCAGAUGGAUUUUUUUCCUUCUCCUCUACUCUUUAAAAUGUUUUGAAUUAAAAUAGCUUACUCAAGGUCACCAAAGGCAUAUGGUCCUGCUCAAAACUUUAAACAAAACAUUAGUUUUUACAACCUUUUGUAAUUUGGUAUUGUAUACAACAUGGUUAUAGACGGAAUUUCUGUAAUCUUUGCAGUGGGUGACAGAAAUAUGAGAGCCAAAUUUAUAAGCCAUUUAGUGAAGCAUUUAAUCAAUUUCAUGCAUAGGAAAUAACUCCGAUUGCUUUGCUUUAUCAAUCUUGCUCUCUCAGAGACCUGCGCUCACCCCAGCCUCAAAACACUUCAGUGCAUGAGGGGGAACCAUAUGCAAAAUUCUAAUGCUGUACACAGUGUCAGGGACUACUGAGGGCUGUUUAAACUUGCCAGCAUCAAUAAUCCCUCUUGAGGCUGUUAAUAUAUUUCAGAAGGAAGGCAGAAAGCCUAAUAUUUAUCGGAAGUUGCAAAACCUCUUUUUACAGAUAUUUUCCUUAAACAUCCUUUGUCUCGAAUGAGUCUUUGACACUGUGUAGAGUUAUGCAGAUUGAGCUUGCCUCUAAUACUGAAGUGUUUCUGAAUGUUGCCUUUAAUCACCUACAAACACUUAAACGCCCUCCCUGUUUCCAUAAACCAUGACUGGCAGAUCAUGGUUUGUCAAAUUCAGAGGCAGAGCUUGAGGUGAUGCUGCUCACUAAGGCCACAGCAAGAAGGACAGCACGAGCUCUGGGCUGGCAUGCACUGCAUGGAAGAGUUAAAAGCCACAUUUGACUGGGACUGGGGGAUUUAUAGGAGACUGAGCUGAGGGAUUACAAAAGUUCCUCUUCUAGUCUUCAACCCAUGGCUCUGGAUGGGCCACCUGAAUUUUGGCAGUGGGCAAGAAGUUGGGAACAUCCCUCCUCACCCCUCCCACAGGACAGCUGGUGGCCUGAAAGUUCCUGAGCUCUGUUCUGUCCCCAGUUGUGUCUGUACUCAUAAGGAUUUGAGAAAGGUCUGGUCUAGUGGUACAUGACAGCAUGAGGUACUGCUCUUCCUACAAAAGGGAAAGGAAAACCUUGACCAAACCAACCUCAUCCCCCUCUCCUGUAUCUAAAAUCCCUACCUGGAGCAAGAGAUAAGGCUUAAAAGACUAUUUCAGAGCACACUUCCUUCUCAAGUACUACAACAACUUGUACAAUACCCUGAGCAGAGUACCACACAGUGAUUUUUUUUCCUGAGUGAAAAAUUCCUGAAGGAGCAAAAAGCCAAUCUCUCUGAUAAUCAUCAGCUGCUCAACUAUAUUAAAUUUAGACAAGGCUACAAUAGUGCCAGAGUUGUCCCCUGCCCUCUAAAAUUAGAACUGAAAGAAUGGUGGGCAUAGUGCUAAAUAUAUAACUCAUUUAAAAAUAAUGUGCUCUCAGGCUUUCCUAAUGCUUGAAAAACUGAUCAUCAUAAAUCCCUAAAGAUCUGUUUGCACAGCCAGCCCGCCUCCAUCAGCCCCAAACAUGUUUCAGUCGGGUCUGUCCAUUCCUGAACAUCCACUUUUUUCUCACAGUUAUAGGGAAAAAUAAAAGCAGGAAAGAUUUGCUGUUAGAUGAUAACAAGAAACCUAGUUAUCCACCUGGACAGAAGCUUCACCUGGCCUCUGCUUUCUGUUUGGAAGCAAAAAAGGAAAGAAAAAAGGGGUAAUAUUUACUGUCUCUCAUAAGGACUAGUCCUGGAAGAGUUGAUAGGGACAAUCCAUCUGAAAUGAUCACAAGUGUGAGGUUUAGCUCCUCAAGCCAUAGAAAACCAUAACAAGCCCCUACAGAAAAAAAGAAAAACCCACAACAAGUCAAGAAACUUUUUCUUCUCUUGUUUCUCAGCUCUAGCAAAACCCAGUGCUAGCAAUUUCAGAAUCAAUAAAAUCAGCAGGAUGGAUUAAGAGCAG
ensembl:lncRNA